AAAUUAUUCACUAUUUCUGUAAUUAUUUUCUUAAUCUGGACAAUUCAUGUUCUUAGCACAAACAAAGAAGGGCUUUCCUAAUAAUAGGAUUAUUUAAAUGCCAUUGCUAAAUCUUGAAGCCCUCUCUAACGUUACAGUUGGCGACUCUGCGGUGAUAUUUUUACAUUGACUUCCCUAUAAGAAGACAAAAAUUUGAAGUUCAUUGGGAGACAUCAUUGUUGAUGAUUUAAGGGAGCUUGGAUAAGGUGUUUAGGCCCUUAGCAACUGUCCCUAAAGUAGAACUUCAUAUACUAGUACUCAAAGACCACCUAGCAAAUAUGUUUCAAUAUGAAUAGUGAAUUUUGAAAAAUGACAUUCAAGUUCUUCAGUGAUAUGUUUAAGAAGCACUGCUUUUACACUUUCUAAAUUCUCAUAAAUAUAUCAUUCGCACUUUCAAUGAGUUUCUGGAGCUAGGCACCAACUCAAAAGGCGUCCACUGAUUUGAAUCAUGAAUUACUAAUUAUAUGGUUUUCCCAUUGAAGUUAAUGUAAGUGUAUGGAUUUAUUGAGAGCAGGAUACUUGAGACACUGGAAUAAAUAAAACUAAUUCUAGAUAAUACUAGAUAAUACAUUCAAAAAUUUAUUAUAGCACACAAUUAAGUGUUCCUGUAAGAAUCAGACAUAGAG